rnacentral:rRNA from 1 species
CGCACGGGUGAGUAAGGUAUAGUUAAUCUGCCCUACACAAGAGGACAACAGUUGGAAACGACUGCUAAUACUCUAUACUCCUGCUUAACACAAGUUGAGUAGGGAAAGUUUUUCGGUGUAGGAUGAGACUAUAUAGUAUCAGCUAGUUGGUAAGGUAAUGGCUUACCAAGGCUAUGACGCUUAACUGGUCUGAGAGGAUGAUCAGUCACACUGGAACUGAGACACGGUCCAGACUCCUACGGGAGGCAGCAGUAGGGAAUAUUGCGCAAUGGGGGAAACCCUGACGCAGCAACGCCGCGUGGAGGAUGACACUUUUCGGAGCGUAAACUCCUUUUCUUAGGGAAGAAUUCUGACGGUACCUAAGGAAUAAGCACCGGCUAACUCCGUGCCAGCAGCCGCGGUAAUACGGAGGGUGCAAGCGUUACUCGGAAUCACUGGGCGUAAAGGGCGCGUAGGCGGAUUAUCAAGUCUCUUGUGAAAUCUAAUGGCUUAACCAUUAAACUGCUUGGGAAACUGAUAGUCUAGAGUGAGGGAGAGGCAGAUGGAAUUGGUGGUGUAGGGGUAAAAUCCGUAGAUAUCACCAAGAAUACCCAUUGCGAAGGCGAUCUGCUGGAACUCAACUGACGCUAAGGCGCGAAAGCGUGGGGAGCAAACAGGAUUAGAUACCCUGGUAGUCCACGCCCUAAACGAUGUACACUAGUUGUUGGGGUGCUAGUCAUCUCAGUAAUGCAGCUAACGCAUUAAGUGUACCGCCUGGGGAGUACGGUCGCAAGAUUAAAACUCAAAGGAAUAGACGGGGACCCGCACAAGCGGUGGAGCAUGUGGUUUAAUUCGAAGAUACGCGAAGAACCUUACCUGGGCUUGAUAUCCUAAGAACCUUUUAGAGAUAAGAGGGUGCUAGCUUGCUAGAACUUAGAGACAGGUGCUGCACGGCUGUCGUCAGCUCGUGUCGUGAGAUGUUGGGUUAAGUCCCGCAACGAGCGCAACCCACGUAUUUAGUUGCUAACGGUUCGGCCGAGCACUCUAAAUAGACUGCCUUCGUAAGGAGGAGGAAGGUGUGGACGAUGUCAAGUCAUCAUGGCCCUUAUGCCCAGGGCGACACACGUGCUACAAUGGCAUAUACAAUGAGACGCAAUACCGCGAGGUGGAGCAAAUCUAUAAAAUAUGUCCCAGUUCGGAUUGUUCUCUGCAACUCGAGAGCAUGAAGCCGGAAUCGCUAGUAAUCGUAGAUCAGCCAUGCUACGGUGAAUACGUUCCCGGGUCUUGUACUCACCGCCCGUCACACCAUGGGAGUUGAUUUCACUCGAAGCCGGA